rnacentral:rRNA from 1 species
AAAGGAAUAGACGGGGGCCCGCACAAGCAGCGGAGCAUGUGGUUUAAUUCGACGCAACGCGAAGAACCUUACCUAGACUUGACAUCUCCUGAAUUACUCUUAAUCGAGGAAGCCCUUCGGGGCAGGAAGACAGGUGGUGCAUGGUUGUCGUCAGCUCGUGUCGUGAGAUGUUGGGUUAAGUCCCGCAACGAGCGCAACCCCUAUCAUUAGUUGCUACCAUUAAGUUGAGCACUCUAGUGAGACUGCCCGGGUUAACCGGGAGGAAGGUGGGGAUGAUGUCAAAUCAUCAUGCCCCUUACGUCUAGGGCUACACACGUGCUACAAUGGUGAAUACAAAGAGAAGCGAAAUCGUGAGGUGGAGCAAAUCUCAUAAAAAUCAUCCCAGUUCAGAUUGCAGGCUGAAACUCGCCUGCAUGAAGUCGGAGUUGCUAGUAAUCGCGAAUCAGCAUGUCGCGGUGAAUACGUUCCCGGGCCUUGUACACACCGCCCGU